UACGUAGGGUGCGAGCGUUAAUCGGAAUUACUGGGCGUAAAGCGUGCGUAGGCGGUUCCUCAAGUCCGUUGUGAAAGCCCCGGGCUCAACCUGGGAAUGGCAGUGGAAACUAGGGGACUGGAAUCUGGCAGAGGGGGGUGGAAUGCCGCGUGUAGCAGUGAAAUGCGUAGAUAUGUGGAGGAACACCGAUGGCGAAGGCAGCCCCCUGGGUUAACACUGACGCUCAUGCACGAAAGCGUGGGGAGCAAACAGG
rnacentral:rRNA from 1 species